ACCAUUCUGAUGAAAAUCAUGAUUCUCUACUUUGGAUGAACUUGGGGGAUCUGAAUUAAAGGUCAGCUGCUGAUAGCCACACAUGCCAUCCCAGCAUUUCUGCCCUGCCUGCUGCCGCCCACUUCUACCACGUGUGAUGCGUUGCAUCACCAUAAAUGGUCAGAUUUAUUUUAGAGAGCCACAGCACUGGUGGACUUGUUAGUAUGCCCAGAAGCUACGCUUUCUGAGACAAUGUGAGUGGCUGCAAACAGCAAACUAAAGCUGUGGCUGGGACUCACCGCCUUCUGUCUGAUAAUAGAAAUCUCCUUCUGCGAAGUCCCACUCAAGGACGCCAUGGGGACGAAUUCUGCUUCCCUGUGUUUAGAACGUGGUCUGCCACAGAAGAAGCACCCAAGGCACCCCAAACAUCUUUUAUUUUCCUUUACUUGGUCAAAGUUUUCUCUGCCAACAACGAGUCAUGAAUUCAUCAAAAACAAUGAACUACCUAAAGGAAUAUUGACAGUCUACGGAAAAUCAUCCUCCUUGUAUUUUCAUAAUUGUCAUGGAAAAUUAAGAUCCAAUCAGAGACACAGUCUACGACAUAGGAAACAUAUGAUUCAGAAAACAGUACAGGAUAUUUUUCUUGUUGUCACCAGAUACUCUGAACCAUAGCUACUCACCAAGCAUUGCAGAAUGGCUUUGGACUUGAAAGGACUCUUGGGCCAAUGAUUUCCUCACUUUAUGAUCACCAGAGUCAUUGAAAGUGAAUUUGAUUGUGCUACAGGAAAAUAACAAAGACAUUAUGUGGUACCAUUCUCUUGUGUUUGACAGAAAAUGUCAUGCUUUUAAUUGAUUCAAUUAAAGAUCAAUUUAACUGAUCUUUGGAAAAACGGAAGUGAUAGGCAAAACAAAAAAAAAACAAAAACAAACCAGCAACAGAGGAGGAUGCCAGAGAUGGAUAUUGCCACACAAAAUCUUGGCUUUGUUGAUGAUUUGUAAACUGUGUUCUACUCCACCAACCUCUUUUAUUAAAAGACAAGUUGGACCAUAGGAAAUAACUCCACGGGAAGAACGACUUUUGCAUUGGGAAUUCAGCACGCCCUGGAAAUUGGCAUCUGGGACGAUGCACGCU